AUCUGAAGCCACCCUGAAAGUUUUGGGCUGGCCGCAUGUGCAUAACCGAAAUUGAAAAGCUUGUAACUUGCAACUCCAUUCAUGUGGUCAAAGAGGUUUGGGUGACUUGCCGGCUUCUGUAGCAACAUAAUGGAUGGAUUCCUGUCGUCUCCAUCUGGAUUCUUCUGAGAUGCCAUACCCACACUCCUCUGCGUACAGACAAAGCCCCACACCCUUCAUCCCUAAUCCCCCUUUCCUCUUGCGCAAUCUUCUUCUGUGUCAGGCAUUAUUAAUUUGUUGUAAAUGAAAUCAGGAAAAUCAUUGUAGAGUGGCUUGGGGAAGAUAUGGGUUCUUCUUCGUGUCUAUACUCUUUGGUGCCAUCACUGCAUCCUUCACAUGUUAAUUUCUCCAAGAACCUUAGUUUCUUGAGCUCUUCCAGAGUUGCAAGACCCCAAGGCGGAGCUUUGCUCAACAAGUCUUCCACACCUCAAAGAAUAGUAUGUUCCUCUACAGAUGAUCCCAAUUCUAUGCCUUCUGGGGAGAAUAUCCCAAGCAGUUUCUGCAUUAUAGAAGGGCCAGAAACAGUUGAGGAUUUUGUACAAAUGCAGCUGCAGGAGAUACAAGAGAACAUUAGGAGCAGGCGCAAUAAAAUCUUUCUCCUCAUGGAGGAGGUACGGAGGUUAAGAGUACAACAACACAUAAAGAGCAUAAAAGUUUCUGAUGGGACGGGUGAACAGGAAAAUGAGAUGCCUGAUAUCCCCUCAUCAAUUCCUUUUCUCCCCCAUGUGACGCCAAAGACGCUGAAGCAGCUCUAUCUAACAAGUUUUUCAUUUGUAUCUGGAAUAAUUGUCUUUGGGGGGCUUAUUGCACCAACUUUGGAGCUGAAAUUAGGUUUGGGUGGCACGUCAUAUGAAGAUUUCAUCCACACUUUGCAUUUGCCUAUGCAAUUAAGUCAGGUCGAUCCAAUAGUGGCAUCCUUUUCAGGAGGCGCAGUGGGGGUUAUUUCUGCUUUGAUGUAAUAGAAGUGAACAAUGUUGAGCAACAAGAGAAGAAAAGAUGCAAGUAUUGCCAUGGAAGUGGAUACUUGGCAUGCGCCCGUUGUUCUGCUAGUGGUACGUGCUUAAAAUUCGAACCCAUCUCGACUUGCAGUGAUUCCAUCCGCCAAUUGCAUGGACCAACUACUCAGAGGUGUCAAAAUUGCUCAGGCUCAGGAAAGGUGAUGUGCCCGACAUGCCUUUGCACUGGGAUGGCCAUGGCAAGUGAACAUGACCCUCGAAUAGAUCCCUUCGAUUAAGGGCAGUCCUCUGAGCAAACGGGCUUGGAUGAUAUCAGAAGUUGAAAUGGAAGAUGAAGUUCAACCAGAGGUCCUGUGGAAAUGGGAAUUUGAAAGUUGAUCAAAAUGUCGAAGUAUUGAUUACUUUCUGGACAAAUCCGACAUCAAUAUAAAAUGUUCAAGUUGGUUAAUUUGUCCCAUUUUGAAAAGUUAAAAAAUACACGACGAUUUAUUACUAUAUAUCUUAGAAAGGCGACGAUACUAUUCUUCUGCAUGAUAUUCUUUUUUUUUGUCAGUAACGAUACAUUUGUAAAACUUACUCUAUUCUACUCUAGGGAGAGGGGGAGUCUAAGGAGACUGUGGUAGGAAGCUAGUGGAUAUACAGAUCCAACUAGAUCAAGGAAAUGUUAUGGCAUAAUUCUUAAAUUUUUUUUGCUCCAGGUAAA